rnacentral:sRNA from 2 species
UUGAUUGGUGAGAUUUCGGCCAUCCGAGUUGCUUUUGGGAUGCUUUCACUGGCUUUGUAGAACUACUAGUUUCGUCUGCAAGAUCGACAGCUGCAGCAGCUUGCGCAUAUAUUUAUUACUAGGCGCUGCGCGGUGGUAAUUCCUACCCCGUACAUACGUAGUACAUACAUACCAUACUAGGUGUACUUGGUAUGUGCAUGUUGAAUGGCGUUUGUCUCGAUAUCCCGUAUUGAAAAGGUCACGCCGCCGUUCUUGAAGGGUAUUAAGUUGGUGACUACGCAGCCAUAGUUAUUUCUCUCUAACGAGACGAACUAAACCUCG